rnacentral:rRNA from 1 species
UACAGGGGGGGCAAGCGUUGUUCGGAAUUACUGGGCGUAAAGGGCUCGUAGGCGGCCAAUUAAGUCCGACGUGAAAUCCCCAGGCUUAACCUGGGAACUGCGUCGGAUACUGAUUGGCUUGAAUCCGGGAGAGGGAUGCGGAAUUCCCGGUGUAGCGGUGAAAUGCGCAGAUAUCGGGAAGAACACCCGUGGCUAAGGCGGCUCUCUAGUACGGUACUGACGCUGAGACGCGAAAGCGUGGGGAGCGAACAGG